rnacentral:rRNA from 1 species
UUAAGUUAUUAAGGGCGCACGGUGGAUGCCUUGGCACUAGAAGCCGAUGAAGGACGUUACUAACGACGAUAUGCUUUGGGGAGCUGUAAGUAAGCUUUGAUCCAGAGAUUUCCGAAUGGGGAAACCCAGCAUGAGUUAUGUCAUGUUAUCGAUAUGUGAAUACAUAGCAUAUCAGAAGGCACACCCGGAGAACUGAAACAUCUUAGUACCCGGAGGAAGAGAAAGAAAAUUCGAUUCCCUUAGUAGCGGCGAGCGAAACGGGAAGAGCCCAAACCAACAAGCUUGCUUGUUGGGGUUGUAGGACACUCUAUACGGAGUUACAAAGGACGACAUUAGACGAAUCAUCUGGAAAGAUGAAUCAAAGAAGGUAAUAAUCCUGUAGUCGAAAAUGUUGUCUCUCUUGAGUGGAUCCUGAGUACGACGGAGCACGUGAAAUUCCGUCGGAAUCUGGGAGGACCAUCUCCUAAGGCUAAAUACUCUCUAGUGAUCGAUAGUGAACCAGUACCGUGAGGGAAAGGUGAAAAGCACCCCGGAAGGGGAGUGAAAUAGAACCUGAAACCGUGUGCUUACAAGUAGUCAGAGCCCGUUAAUGGGUGAUGGCGUGCCUUUUGUAGAAUGAACCGGCGAGUUACGAUUUGAUGCAAGGUUAAGCAGUAAAUGUGGAGCCGUAGCGAAAGCGAGUCUGAAUAGGGCGUUUAGUAUUUGGUCGUAGACCCGAAACCAGGUGAUCUACCCUUGGUCAGGUUGAAGUUCAGGUAACACUGAAUGGAGGACCGAACCGACUUACGUUGAAAAGUGAGCGGAUGAACUGAGGGUAGCGGAGAAAUUCCAAUCGAACCUGGAGAUAGCUGGUUCUCUCCGAAAUAGCUUUAGGGCUAGCCUCAAGUGAUGAUUAUUGGAGGUAGAGCACUGUUUGGACGAGGGGCCCCUCUCGGGUUACCGAAUUCAGACAAACUCCGAAUGCCAAUUAAUUUAACUUGGGAGUCAGAACAUGGGUGAUAAGGUCCGUGUUCGAAAGGGAAACAGCCCAGACCACCAGCUAAGGUCCCAAAAUAUAUGUUAAGUGGAAAAGGAUGUGGCGUUGCCCAGACAACUAGGAUGUUGGCUUAGAAGCAGCCAUCAUUUAAAGAGUGCGUAAUAGCUCACUAGUCGAGUGACACUGCGCCGAAAAUGUACCGGGGCUAAACAUAUUACCGAAGCUGUGGAUUGUCCUUUGGACAAUGGUAGGAGAGCGUUCUAAGGGCGUUGAAGCAUGAUCGUAAGGACAUGUGGAGCGCUUAGAAGUGAGAAUGCCGGUGUGAGUAGCGAAAGACGGGUGAGAAUCCCGUCCACCGAUUGACUAAGGUUUCCAGAGGAAGGCUCGUCCGCUCUGGGUUAGUCGGGUCCUAAGCUGAGGCCGACAGGCGUAGGCGAUGGAUAACAGGUUGAUAUUCCUGUACCACCUAUAAUCGUUUUAAUCGAUGGGGGGACGCAGUAGGAUAGGCGAAGCGUGCGAUUGGAUUGCACGUCUAAGCAGUAAGGCUGAGUAUUAGGCAAAUCCGGUACUCGUUAAGGCUGAGCUGUGAUGGGGAGAAGACAUUGUGUCUUCGAGUCGUUGAUUUCACACUGCCGAGAAAAGCCUCUAGAUAGAAAAUAGGUGCCCGUACCGCAAACCGACACAGGUAGUCAAGAUGAGAAUUCUAAGGUGAGCGAGCGAACUCUCGUUAAGGAACUCGGCAAAAUGACCCCGUAACUUCGGGAGAAGGGGUGCUCUUUAGGGUUAACGCCCAGAAGAGCCGCAGUGAAUAGGCCCAAGCGACUGUUUAUCAAAAACACAGGUCUCUGCUAAACCGUAAGGUGAUGUAUAGGGGCUGACGCCUGCCCGGUGCUGGAAGGUUAAGAGGAGUGGUUAGCUUCUGCGAAGCUACGAAUCGAAGCCCCAGUAAACGGCGGCCGUAACUAUAACGGUCCUAAGGUAGCGAAAUUCCUUGUCGGGUAAGUUCCGACCCGCACGAAAGGCGUAACGAUUUGGGCACUGUCUCAACGAGAGACUCGGUGAAAUCAUAGUACCUGUGAAGAUGCAGGUUACCCGCGACAGGACGGAAAGACCCCGUGGAGCUUUACUGUAGCCUGAUAUUGAAAUUCGGCACAGCUUGUACAGGAUAGGUAGGAGCCUUUGAAACGUGAGCGCUAGCUUACGUGGAGGCGCUGGUGGGAUACUACCCUAGCUGUGUUGGCUUUCUAACCCGCACCACUUAUCGUGGUGGGAGACAGUGUCAGGCGGGCAGUUUGACUGGGGCGGUCGCCUCCUAAAAGGUAACGGAGGCGCUCAAAGGUUCCCUCAGAAUGGUUGGAAAUCAUUCAUAGAGUGUAAAGGCAUAAGGGAGCUUGACUGCGAGACCUACAAGUCGAGCAGGGUCGAAAGACGGACUUAGUGAUCCGGUGGUUCCGCAUGGAAGGGCCAUCGCUCAACGGAUAAAAGCUACCCCGGGGAUAACAGGCUUAUCUCCCCCAAGAGUUCACAUCGACGGGGAGGUUUGGCACCUCGAUGUCGGCUCAUCGCAUCCUGGGGCUGUAGUCGGUCCCAAGGGUUGGGCUGUUCGCCCAUUAAAGCGGUACGCGAGCUGGGUUCAGAACGUCGUGAGACAGUUCGGUCCCUAUCCGUCGUGGGCGUAGGAAAUUUGAGAGGAGCUGUCCUUAGUACGAGAGGACCGGGAUGGACAUACCUCUGGUGUACCAGUUGUCGUGCCAACGGCAUAGCUGGGUAGCUAUGUGUGGACGGGAUAAGUGCUGAAAGCAUCUAAGCAUGAAGCCCCCCUCAAGAUGAGAUUUCCCAACUUCGGUUAUAAGAUCCCUCAAAGAUGAUGAGGUUAAUAGGUUCGAGGUGGAAGCAUGGUGACAUGUGGAGCUGACGAAUACUAAUCGAUCGAAGACUUAAUCAA